GAAGUGCAUGUGACCAAAACAAUUCAGUCAAACCAUACAGCCUGUGUGUGGACUUCCUCUUCUGUCUUUAUCUUAAGCCAAUAUAUGUCUUUAGAAGACUUUUUACAGUAGCUCUCUUUAGAAGACUUCACUAUGUUUGAGAGGUCUGAAAGGGUCACUAAUCAAUGGAGAUUAAAAAAAAAAGACAGGAAGUGAUAAUAUAAUUGCAGAGGUGAGGAGAAGGCAGAUUGUUUAUCUGCAGUACUUGGAAACUGUUAACUUACCAAAGUGUGAUACGUGGUGUACUUUUAUUUCAUGGGUAAUCAUUUUUCAUGGGUGGUGAUUAAAACCUUUUUUAUUCAGAGGAAACAGAGUGAGCCCAUCCUUGCAGAGGGAGGUUUCUCAUGCCUUCAGCGUCCACCCCCCACUCAUCAUUCCCUACAAACAGCAAGUGCAAGGUGUGGGAGCCCAGUGCUUUAACAGCAAUCAUUCCAGGGCACGCUCCAUGAUAAAGCGUGUUUUUGGAAUGAUGAAGACGAGAUUCAGGGCCAUCAUCCUGCUGGAGUGCUGGUGACUUUGUGGCCCUAGAGGAUGAUGCAGCAGGGGAUGAGGGGGAGGCUGGUUUGGAGGCAGUCACUGGUGCUCUUUGGCAGGACCAGCUGUCUCCUGGGGUGUCUGCCUUGGAGGAUGUACCACCAGAUCAUGACUACUGUUAACAGACCUCUCGGAAUGUCUGCUCGUCUCUCCUGCUGCCUGCAUGCCUGUGGAUGUGUCACGGACUGUGUAAAAGAGGAGCGUGUGUGUGCCUGCCCUGGACCUUCCCUCACCUUCGGACCCCCCCACCCCCUGGAGCCCCAUGUUACCUGUUCCACUGUAUAUAUGUAUCUAUCCUCACCUGGUGCCACAUUGUAAAUAAAUCCUUCACCAUCUCUCUAAAGUCUCUAAAUUAGAGUCCUGCGAACAAAAUUCUCCAGUAUGGAUCGCAAUGAAUUCUGGGAUAGGGUGGGCCACGAAAGAUACACCCAACCCAUCCUUCAAAUCCAGGGAAAUGGAGGAUGCAUUUGUGGGCCGCAUUUGGAGCAGCCUUCAAAUUUGGACAGCCUUCAUCACCUGGCUGUGACUUAAUCAGCCUACAAAUGCGGCUUCCAAAGGAUGCAGCCCCUGAAUUUGGACACAGCCACUGUGGAACCAUCCUUUUGUCUACUCAGCAGCAUACAAAGAUCCUGCGAGAUGAACCAAAGUUUUCGAAUUUUCAUUCAUCAGUCCAUAAUACCUUCUUCCAGUCUUCAGUAGUCCAGUGUAUUUCAUGGCCCAGGCAAGCCUCUUUGUCUUAUUCUGAUGUCUUAGCAAUGGCUUUCUUGCUGCAACUCGUCCUGUCAAACCUGAAGUUUGAAGUCUUCUCUUCUGAUGUGAAUCUUAGGACACAUUGAUCACUGACACUUCAAACAAACAUUAGGGCCCUGGAUUUCUCCUCAGGCCACAGCCUUCACUUCUAGGUGGUGGCUGUCGCUCAGAAGGUGGAGCAGGUCAUUUGACAAUCAGGUGGUUGUUUUUGGUUCCCUGGCUACUCCAGUCUGCAUGGCAAAGUAUCCUUGGGCACGAUACUAAACCACAGGUUACUCCCUAUCUGUUCAUGAGAGCAUGAAUGUGUGCAAUUGUUAGAUAGAAAACUUGUUUUGCUUCUUUUCUUAUUUAUUAUGUUUUAUUAUUAUUUAGGGGUUUGUUUGUUUUUUAUAGAACAUUGUAGUGGCUGAAGGAGCAGGGCCAUGAGCCCAAAGUCUCAUGGGAUGUUCAUGCUGACAUUGAUGAGUUGAGUCACAGUGUUAUAAGAGCUAUUUCAGUUAUCCUGUGUGCAUCUCUCAUUCUUAUUGUUAAUUUAUCAUGUGAAUUGCAGCUGUUUGUUUAGUAGUGAGUAAUGACCAUCAUGACUGGGACUGCUGUGCCGUUUAAUGAUCUAUGGUCACUGUUGCUGAUUAGGGGUGUUAUGCUAAUAGAGCUGCAUUCCUGUAGUUGAGCAGUUAAUGAAACAGAGGGACUGCAAAUAAAGAUUGAGAUCUCUCUACUUACCACAAUAAUUUCAUUAUUUUUAUGGUAUGGC
ensembl:lncRNA